ensembl:lncRNA
CUUCAGUCACUCAAAGUUGAGGUGCUGCCCACAAAGCUAUGACUGACAUCUGUACCGACUCGUGACAGGUUUUCUACAUUGUCAGAUUACACUUAGUCUAUUCAGACCAAUAAUUUCAUGGCCAGUGUUAGAAGAGCAUAAUAUCCUUGUAAUUUGAAUGAAGAAGCUUUCAGCUGGUGGCAGCCAGCAGUCCACUGUAAUUUCACCUGCUAAAGGUCUUGCCUGUACUGCAGCGUGGCUCCCUUGAGGAGGUUCUCCAUAGCAACCGGCCUUUGUAACUCGCAGACAUGUAACAGUUCACAAUGAGAGCAAAUGAGGAAUAUUCAAACAGCAACACAAGGCCGGCGACAGCUCGCCGUUAUCUGAUGUUCACUCUCCGAGUAAAACUCCCGUUAGUGUGACUGAAUCAGAGCGCUGUGGUAAGAAUAACUAAUGGCCAGAUGGAGCAGUGUUGAUCAUCGCAGUCUGUUCGCUUCCCAUCAUAAAGACAAACUCAGAGCUUUCAAGUAUAAAUGCAUUAAUCAGAUGCAAGACAAAUGCUGUCGAUGGCGAUGUCUUCAUAUACCAUUUCUUGAUUAUAUCGCAGCAGGAUGGCGCUAAUGAAAGCCGUGUCUCAAAGUUUCUCAUAACUGCUAUAACACUCAUGGAUCCGAGACCAGUGUUUUAUUUAGCACAAGAUCAGUGAUGGACGGACAGACUCCAGCAAGACAGAUGGGCAGAUGUGGCUUCACAGCAGCAGAACAAACUGUUCUUACUCUCGCCAAGCUCAGCUGGAGGGAUGUCGCUGAUACCCAUGAUGCUUUAGGUUACUACUGAGUGACAGAUGCUGUAACACUGGCAGAGGUUCAAUGAAUUGGAAUAGCAUUAAGGACAUUCGAAGCUUCCUCCUCUGUUUUAAUUAACAGCAACCUCUGAUAAGUAUUUCUAAACCCCUGGCAAUGACAGUAAGCUCACAAGGAGAUGCAAUAAACUUGUGCACCAUAAUGUUACACUGGCUAUAGGGUAAACUUGCACACAUGAAAACAAAAUGUGUUUACUGACUGACUGUCUGAUCUCAAAUGUAGGAUCUGUAGGCUCUGCUUAUGCUGUUUUACUCUGCCGCAUCUGAACUCAAGCACAUCGAUGGGUCAAAAGGUGCAGCAGAACCAAGCACACAAACUGUCAGCCGUGAGAAACAUGCCGAAUGCUUCCUCACCUCCUCAACACUCGGAGAGUUUCAACAUCUGUAUUCUGUGUUAAUUAACUGAUUAAUCCGAAUUGAGAAAAGAGAUCUCGUCUUAACGCUUACCAUGGUGCCAACUGUCAGCGCCGCUAGUCAAAUGGGCGCUGGAGAUGUUUGGACUCUCUGUCACUGUUGAAGCUUGAGUGGAUUUUAAUUAGCACGAGGAUGAUUGUACUGAUUAUGACAUGGGUGAGAAAAAUCGCUUUUCGCUUUUAUUGUCAUAGAAAUUGUAGUGAGAUAAAACAAUAAUUGGCAGAUCCCCUAAAAUGUUAAUGUAGGACAAUGUGAAGAUCAGAGAUCAAAAAUCAUAGUCAAAUCUCCUGCUGUUGUAAAAUGUUAAUGGGUAGUUGAUAUGGACAUGAACUUUUUGUAUUUAUAUUUAUUUAUAGUUAUA